GAAGACAUAGUGAUUUGUGAAAUUUGAACCUGAAAACCAAUAGCAAAGGGAAGAAAAGCAGUUGGAGUAUUUGCCAGAUGAGGGAUGUCGCAGUGCUCUUUACAAAGCCAGUGGUGAGGGCCACGUGAAAGGAAAAGCCUCACUAUAUCUAGUCUUUCAGUAUUUACUCAGGGCAAAGACAGACUUCAGAACAGAUAUUGUCUUUAGGAGUAUCGUAGUGAUCACUGAGGGACACUUGAAGACUUUUAUUUAUUUCUUUCCUAUUUCUACUCUUUUGGGGCUCUGUUCUCUAAUUAAAAUUGGUGUUUUGGAAAAAGGGAAUGUGACUUCUGAAUACAGUAAUAAAUUAUAUCCUUGCCUCAGAUGGAAUUAAAAUGACUGCAGACGUGAAAUUUCCCUGCUUCUGAAAACUUAAUUUGAUAUUUUCUCUUACACACCAAGCAGUGAUUUGCAGAGGUUGCAGUGAGCCGAGAUCGAGCCAUUGCACUCCAGCCUAGGCAACAAGAGCAAAACUCCAUCUCAAAAAAAAAAAAAAAAAAAGAAAA
ensembl:lncRNA novel transcript